UCAUUUCUGGCCCCACUCCAGAGCCCGCAGCCCCAGCUGGAGCCCUCACCAACUCAAACACCCCUACCCCCAAUUUCAUGAUCAUUCAUGGCCCACCAAACAAUUUCCAUAGCCUGAUGUGGCCCUCGGGCUAAAAAGUUUGCCCACCCUGUGCUAAAGGGCUUCAAUAGCUG